AUUGAACGCUGGCGGCAUGCUUUACACAUGCAAGUCGAACGGUAACAGGCCGCAAGGUGCUGACGAGUGGCGAACGGGUGAGUAAUGCAUCGGAACGUGCCCAGUCGUGGGGGAUAACGCAGCGAAAGUUGCGCUAAUACCGCAUACGAUCUAUGGAUGAAAGCGGGGGACCGUAAGGCCUCGCGCGAUUGGAGCGGCCGAUGUCAGAUUAGGUAGUUGGGGGGGUAAAGGCUCACCAAGCCGACGAUCUGUAGCUGGUCUGAGAGGACGACCAGGCACACUGGGACUGAGACACGGCCCAGACUCCUACGGGAGGCAGCAGUGGGGAAUUUUGGAAAAUGGGCGCAAGCCUGAUCCAGCAAUGCCGCGUGCAGGAAGAAGGCCUUCGGGUUGUAAACUGCUUUUGUACGGAACGAAACGGUCCUGGUUAAUACCCGGGGCUAAUGACGGUACCGUAAGAAUAAGCACCGGCUAACUACGUGCCAGCCGCCGCAGUAACAC
rnacentral:rRNA from 1 species